rnacentral:rRNA from 1 species
AGCGGCGGAUGGGUGAGUAACACGUGGGGAACCUGCCCCUAAGUCUGGGAUACCAUUUGGAAACAGGUGCUAAUACCGGAUAAUAAAGCAGAUCGCAUGAUCAGCUUUUGAAAGGCGGCGUAAGCUGUCGCUAAGGGAUGGCCCCGCGGUGCAUUAGCUAGUUGGUAAGGUAACGGCUUACCAAGGCGACGAUGCAUAGCCGAGUUGAGAGACUGAUCGGCCACAUUGGGACUGAGACACGGCCCAAACUCCUACGGGAGGCAGCAGUAGGGAAUCUUCCACAAUGGACGCAAGUCUGAUGGAGCAACGCCGCGUGAGUGAAGAAGGUUUUCGGAUCGUAAAGCUCUGUUGUUGGUGAAGAAGGAUAGAGGUAGUAACUGGCCUUUAUUUGACGGUAAUCAGCCAGAAAGUCACGGCUAACUACGUGCCAGCAGCCGCGGUAAUACGUAGGUGGCAAGCGUUGUCCGGAUUUAUUGGGCGUAAAGCGAGCGCAGGCGGAAAAAUAAGUCUAAUGUGAAAGCCCUCGGCUUAACCGAGGAACUGCAUCGGAAACUGUUUUUCUUGAGUGCAGAAGAGGAGAGUGGAACUCCAUGUGUAGCGGUGGAAUGCGUAGAUAUAUGGAAGAACACCAGUGGCGAAGGCGGCUCUCUGGUCUGCAACUGACGCUGAGGCUCGAAAGCAUGGGUAGCGAACAGGAUUAGAUACCCUGGUAGUCCAUGCCGUAAACGAUGAGUGCUAAGUGU